AAACAAUUCAUAUCACCAGAGAAGUCUGUCAUCAGAUGUCAUCUGAACCAUGGACAGAAUUUGUUGGCAAUGAUGUUAAGUAUGCACUGUACUUUGUGACGGGAGCAUCAUUUGAUUUUGGCGAGGAUGAUAUGAUGACAAUACGGAGAUGGUGGUGUCUCUCUCUCUUGAGAAACUUUCCUGCGAGAAGAACUACAAAAGGAGAGAAAGCGGAAAAAAGUUGAUGAGAGGCAAAAUGUGAGACUGUGUGCUGAUGACCACA